CAUUCCGGACACUUUCCAUGCUGUCGUUGGGCUUCUCGUUGAGCAUUGCUUCUACAACAACACAGUCACGGUUUGAGUCAUCGAUGCCUGUUCACUUGUCCAUUUGAUCUCACCUGCAUCUUUGGCCACCAAGCCCGUAUGUGGAUGGAACGGGGAUGGGGAGCACCAGCUGUCUCUGUGACCAGACAUGUUACAGAACUCCCAUCGUUUCUGCUGUAACUGCUGCAGCCAGUAAUGCAUCACCUGCCUGUUGGGUGCCUGCAUGCAGAAAGGGCAAAAAAA